CCACACCCUCUUUCACCUCUUACUUUUUGAUUUUGUAAUGAACUUUUAAUUUUAGUUACUAAAAUAUUUAAAUUUUAAGAAAUAAUAAAUUAUUGGAGAUUAGCCAAAAUAGAGAACAUUGCUGGAAGAAAUAUGUUUAAGUAGUUUGCUAUAAUAGCUUUUUAGCCAUUUAAGCUAAAAUUUGGCUAAGAUUUAGACUCUCCUUGAGAUGCUACAAGGGCAAGCUCAAUGGUAGUGCCUUAAUGGGGCUCUAAAAAUGGUGGAUAAAGACAUUAAGAGCUCUGAUUGAAUAUUCCGGGCCCUAAAAGUAUCUUUCCCACAAUAGAGAGCUUUAUACUUGAGGCUCUAUUUAUAAUGUAAUUUAGUUUAUGUGCUAAUUUUUUUUCAUUGUUAACUUAUUUUGUGUUAAUGCAUGUUUAUAUUAUGUUAUUUUUUUUUUUUUUUAACAUUUCAACCAAAAUAAAAUAAAAUAUGGACUAUACUUUGGAAACAACAUUUUUUUGUUUUGGGUUAAUGUAUGCUUAUGUUAUGUUAAAUUUUUUUAAUGAUUAUGAUUAUGAUUAUUUUUUGUUGCUAAUGUAUGUUUAUAACUUGCCCAAAAGUGUAAUGAUGUUGGUGAUUUUUGCAUUAGCUUUUGGCAGCAGCUGGGGUCCACUCAGGCUCUAUGGCUCUAUUAAGGUCUUCAUAUAUGGGGUAAGCUCCAAUUGGGCUCUGGGAUUUUGAGACUCAUAUGCACCCCAUUGGGGAUGCCAUUUUUGCAAUG
rnacentral:lncRNA from 1 species